UACGGAGGAUCCAAGCGUUAUCCGGAUUUAUUGGGUUUAAAGGGUGCGUAGGCGGCCCGUUAAGUCAGGGGUGAAAGACGGUAGCUCAACUAUCGCAGUGCCCUUGAUACUGACGGGCUUGAAUGUACUAGAGGUAGGCGGAAUGUGACAAGUAGCGGUGAAAUGCAUAGAUAUGUCACAGAACACCGAUUGCGAAGGCAGCUCACUACACAAUCAUUGACGCUGAGGCACGAAAGCGUGGGGAUCAAACAGG
rnacentral:rRNA from 1 species